rnacentral:rRNA from 1 species
AAACCGCAUGCAGGUAAACGGGUGGCGUCAAGCUGCAAGCCCGGAGGAUUCAGCUGGCUAGGAUGUUGUGUAUGCGCCUGGCGCAUCUAUCAGCCGGAGUAAGAUGUGAUAGUCCACUGGUAAACGGUGGGCCCGGCCGCAAGGUUGGGAUAUGUGUACCGGGCGGAAGCCGGAGCAUGCUAUUCGUCUGUUGGGCUGUCUAGUCAGUGCACUUUCUCUGUGGUGAACACCACGACCGGUGGAAUUGCCAGUCUGCUGUAGUCAAGUCGUAUUCAGUCGGUUCUUGUAGCCAACUGGGUGCGAUCACAGGCAAACUCAGUAAACGGCGUAGGGGUGUCUCGGCAUCCUUGCGUGUUAUCGGCUGCUGGUUGUCAACGGGCCUGCCUGAUGAUUGUUGUAACCGUCAUUGGGUGGUCUGGUGGGCUAUGGUGGUAAGAAUAACUGUGCAAGGCAUCGGAGUUCUCGGCCUCAAAUGCAUCCUGCAUACACGUUACAAGUGGAGUGGGGUGCCAUUGCAGCCUGCCUGUUGUUGGGUCUGAUUGUCGUGUCGCCUGCGCAAAGUGGGCCCGGCAGUGGCCUGAUGCGGGAUGGGUUGUGGAUGGUGCUUCCUGUGUAGGGUGCGGUGGGUCAAAUAGUCAG